rnacentral:lncRNA from 1 species
CAAAGAAAGCUCCUAGCGGGUUACGGGAGGCUCACUAUUACCAAGCCCACCUCACGAUGAUAUGAUGUCGGCUAGCAAAAAUAAUAAUGAGAGGGUACACUUACCCAUUCACAACAACCUCUUGUGAUUACCCAUCUAUUUGGCCUCUAGAGAACAAUGCCUCACGAUGAUACGAUGUUGGCACCAUUUCUCUUAGUUAAGUUUCGACCCACCAUGCCAGUUUAGAUAGGGGUUCAAGUAUGACCUCACGAUGAUACGAUGUUGGCCACACUCGUUGCCUACCUUCACCUCAUCAAAUGUUUAUAUAGACUCCUCCUGAGUAUAAGCAUGCACUUUGCACUUCCCCAUGAUAGGGUGAAGGCGGUGUACAAGUCAUAAAUGAUUGGAGCCUGCCAUGGUGGAAGGCCACGAAGAAGUGUUCAAUAGCACCUCUCCCCUUUCAACUUAAAAUUGUUUGUUGGUUGAGGGAUUUUAAGGUCUCAUCAUUUUUAUUUAUUUAAUCACAUUCAAAUAAAUUGUGUUCUAUUAUAACUACUAGUCCAAAGUUAAUGAAAUUAGUAGCAUAUGAUAUCCCCAUUAUUUGUUUUCAUAAAACAAAUCAAUAUCAAAACAUUUUUCAAAAUAUUGGAGAUAUAUAUAAUUACUAAUUAUAUUCAUUAUAGUUUAGUAGCGUAUGAUACUCCCACUAUUUGUUUUGAGAAAAACAAAUCAAUAUCAAAAACAAAAUUUUCAAAUAUUGGAAGUAACUACUACUACUACGGUUUUCGCAUUCUUUUGAAAUUGGACUUUAUAGUUAUCUUAGGCUCUUGGAUAACCAUGGACUUAUAGGGUUAUUGCAACAACGAGCCAACAUUGUUGAAUAAGAACUCGGGGAGGUUGUGUCGUUUUAAUUACGUGCUUUUCAAUCCAAUUAAAACAAUUUUUCAUUGAGCCAUUAGAAAUGAAAGACAAUCAUUCAUUGCUAAUUAGGGCGUUGGACCCAAUUAAUCUUUAAUCUCAUGUCAAAACCCUCUUUUAAUUAUGUCUCCUUACCAAUAGUUAAAGAAACUCUAGUCUAGUACUAGAGGGAAUCAACCAAUUAAAAGAGAUUAAAAAGUAAUAAGAAUUACAAACCGAUUUGUACAAAUUCCUAUAAAUUACACAUACUAAGAGGGAGAGAAUGAUUAAAGUCCAUCAUGACAAGGUCCAAUUGAAACAGUAAUUAAAACACAUUCCCAAGGUUCAAACAAUUUGAGUUUAGCGCCCUUUCUCAUAGCUCAAUUAUCGUUUAAGGCAUAAGUCCAUAGUCAACCAUUUUUCUAACUACUUAAUCACAUUAAAUAAUCAAUUGGAAUGCAACAUAAACAAUUAGAUUUAGUGCAUAUGGGCAUAAUAAUAAUAUUAUGAGUUUAAACAACCAAUAAAAUUAAAAUCAAAUAUUUUAACUUUUCAAAUAGUAGGGGCCUAAAUGCAAAUAUGAAAAAGUUAGGGGUCAAACCGUAAAUACUCAAAAGUAAAACAACUUUUUCAAAUUACAAAAUAGCCCCACAAAUGGGAAAUCCACUAGGGUGGCCGGCCACAUUAAGAGGGGAUGGGAAGUCUCACCCAUCAUGCAAUAAUUCAACAUAAAGUAGAAAAAUUAAAUUUUACUUGUCACUUGGUUUUGCUUUAAGGACUUUAGUAAAAGGUGAUGGAAAUUCAUCUAGACAAGUCUAGGAUUGAAUUAAAUUUUGGGAAAGCUAUGGAUGGUAAGUUUACCAUCCAAAACCACAAAACAAUGUAUGAAAAACAAAUGAAACCAUUUUCACCAAAAACCAAACCAUGAACACCAAGAACAAAACCAUGAAAACAAUUUCAAGAUUUGUACUUUCUUGGUGAUUUUUUUUUCAAACCCAAAAACAAAAGUGACAAGAUCUAUUCUUUCUAGCUUCAAAGUGUGUGUGUGUGUGAUUCAAAAUAAAACACAAACACUUAGCCAAAAAACCCCCUUUGCCGUGCCCCCUUUUUGGAACAAAACCCCAAAAUUUUGUUCUAAACUCAAUCUUCAUUCAUGCAUCCAAAACACUUUUGCAUACAUAUCUUUUCAACUAUUGAUUCAUAUUUUUCAACAUUUGAAAAACAAAAGAUAAACAUACUUUGAAUGAAGCAAUAACAUGUCAUACAUAAAAUUAAAAACCCAUAUGCAUAAAAUCCAAAAGGACACAUCAAACAUAAACCUUUGGCUCUGAUACCACUUGAAGGGAAAUUGUGAGAUUUCUAGUGACUAGCAUGCAUAUAAAAUUCAAAAUUUAUAUACGAAAGCAACGGAAGCAUGUUAUCAAAUAAUAUCAAAGCUAUAGUCAUGCAAAUCUCCUUCAAGAUGCAUAGGUUUAUAUAAGAUGCAUCAAAACUUUUUAGUGAAGAACAAAGUGUAGGAGUAGUUUUAUACCUCUUGAUCUAGACUUUAGACCAAGGAUGGACCACCUCCAAGCCCUUUGUUGUUGGAACUCCUUGAGCCUAGCCUCCCUCCUUGCCUCCUCCACUUUGUUAGAAUGAGUGCUCCUUGGUUCUCCUUAAGUCUCCAAAGUUCAAGACCUCUAAAGAUCCUCACCCAUUAGAGUAGUGAGAAGGAUGAAGGAAUAACCAAAAGGGUGAGAAGAUGAUUAGCUAAACCCCCUUUUGUUGGCCGGCCCUUUGAGUGUUGAGAGAGAUAUUUUCUUUUUCUCUUUUGUUGUUUUAACACUUCAAAAAACCCUAAUAAAACUUUGUGCUAUAAAGUUCCUUUAUAACAAAAAAGAAACAAGUCAACAUUUGACUCUCUCUCUCUCUCCUUUGGCCGGCCCCUUUAAUGUUGUUUGGGCUUUGGGCUUUUAUUAUUUCAAGUCAUCAUCUGCUUGAAUAAAAGCCCAAUGGGUUUAGGCCUAAUGGGCCCAAUUAGACCCGAACUUUUCUUUAAGCCCAAAACGAUCUUUAUCGCUUUUAUGAUUUCUUUAGACAUUCUAAUUAAUCACAACACUUAAUUAAUCCAAUUAAUUAUUUCCAUCAUCCAUUAGUUACUCACUACAAGAGUGUAUUGGUGAACAAUCAUUUUAGGUUCUAAUUAGCAAGGCAGUGAGGUGAUUGACACCAAUCCAAUUGAUUAUUUUUAAUCCAAUCACUUAGUGAAUUAAAACUUACUUUUAAUUCACCUUCUUCUUUGACGACUACAUUUAAUCAUCUAGAAGAACUCACAAGUCAUGAGUGACAUCUAAACAUAUAUCAUGGCUACCCAAGUUAAUGUAGAAUUUGUUCGGAGAACCUAUUCAGUCGGAAUUACAAUGUAAUUCGAUCCUUCUCUAAA